AGUGUGUGAAAAAAAAUCCUAAAAACAUGGCGCCGGUGCAAAAACGAUAAAAUUGUGUUUUUUGUUUAUCAAUCAGCACAUAUAAGUCUCGCCAGUGAGAAAAUAGAAAAUUCCAUCAACGAACUACGGACCAAUUCCAUGCAGUCGCCUCUAAACAUCUAAAGACACUGUUUUAUUCUCUCGAUUUAUUAGAAAAGAAUUUCGGGGGAUGGACUCAUUCUUGGUAUUAGAAAAUAUAUUCUAGAUUUUAUCAAAAGACCGUAGCUGAAAUUAAUUGACUGUAUAUACAUAGACUAGUAAUUCUGGUAAAAAUAAUAAUUUCAACAAUUUUGAUUAAAAAUUUUAGUAAGCUACAUUUCUAUUUCUCCUCUAUUUCAAUUUGCUUACCAUCGACUGGAUACUUUUAAAAAAUUACUGUAUAUACGACAACUAAGCUUUUGCCCGCGACUUCGUUCGCAUGGAAUAGUUUUGGAGCCUUUGGGAUAACGCAAAAUUUUACCCGCGACUUAAUUUACCUACGUAAAAGGUGAAAAUAUUUUUGAAUAAUAGUUAAGAGGAAUUGUAAAUAAAACAAACAAAUUAUAUACAUCAAUAUAUUUUACAUUGUUGUCUUUAAAUCAACUCGACUAUUCCGAAGUUCCUCAAAAUAUAAAAAAGACAAAACAAAAAAUAAGACAUAUGAGAUCUUUUACUUACUAAUAAGAAAAAUUUACAUUUUAUUAAUUGCGGAACUAAGAACAUCAGAAUCUUAUUAUUCAAUCUAAAAACAUUAUUGCGGAGAGGGCUUUACUGAAGUCGUGCGUUAAUUCGUUAAAAAUUAAAUGCUACCAAAACCAUCGAUAAAAAUGUUCAUCGCAUCAUAUUGGCAACAUUAACUAGCACGUGCAACAUCAUAUUUCAUCAAAACAACACCAACAAAAAAAUUAUUUAAAAAUA